AUACGUAGGUGGCAAGCGUUGUCCGGAAUUAUUGGGCGUAAAGCGCGCGCAGGCGGUCCUUUAAGUCUGAUGUGAAAGCCCACGGCUCAACCGUGGAGGGUCAUUGGAAACUGGGGGACUUGAGUGCAGAAGAGGAAAGUGGAAUUCCAAGUGUAGCGGUGAAAUACGUAGAGAUUUGGAGGAACACCAGUGGCGAAGGCGACUUUCUGGGCUGUAACUGACGCGGAGGCGCGAAAGCGUGGGGAGCAAACAGGAUUAGAUACCCUGGGAGUCCACGCCGUAAACGAUGAGUGCUAAGUGUUAGGGGGUUUCCGCCCCUUAGUGCUGCAGCUAACGCAUUAAGCACUCCGCCUGGGGAGUACGGUCGCAAGACUGAAACUCAAAUGAAUUGACGGGG
rnacentral:rRNA from 1 species